rnacentral:rRNA from 1 species
GUGUCAGCAGCCGCGGUAAUACAGAGGGUGCGAGCGUUAAUCGGAUUUACUGGGCGUAAAGGGCGCGUAGGCGGUUAAGUGUGUGGAAUGUGAAAGCCCCGGGCUUAACCUGGGAAGUGCAUACCAAACUAUUUAACUGGAGUAGAUGAGAGGGUGGCGGAAUUUCCGGUGUAGCGGUGAAAUGCGUAGAGAUCGGAAGGAACGUCAAUGGCGAAGGCAGCCACCUGGCAUCAUACUGACGCUGAGGCGCGAAAGCGUGGGGAGCGAACAGGAUUAGAUACCCUAGUAGUCC